AUUCCAUUCUGGAGCAUUUCCCUUAUUUUAAUUUGAAGCCAUUCCCUCUUAUGGAAAGACAGACAAUAAUUGUUUGUGCUUAAUGGCAUUGGUUUGACGAAUACAAAGUCCACAGUUAUUAUAGUGUCAUGAUUGUAUUUUGGCUUAUCGAUGCCAGGAAAUGAACUUAAUGCAUCCUUCUUAUUAAAUACUAUUUUAUCAUUGUCAGUCACAAAAACUUCAUUUGUAACAAAACUCCAUUUUAUAUUUAGUUGUUCAAGGGCCUCAAUCCUCAAAAGAACAUUGUAUUCUACCUCUUUAAUCAGUAUGGCAUUAACCAAUACUUCUCUGUCCUCAACUUUAAUGUGUAAUCUGAUAUAAUUAUGAUAAGCAUUAGUUUUCCCAUUGAAUGCUUUGAGCACAGUAUGUCCCUCAUGAAUCUUAGCUCCUAGGAAAUAGUUAAAAUGAUUACAGCGAGACUUGCAGUACGGGAUUCACAUUUAGAAUUUUUAUUCUAAUCGAACAGGUGUUUCGGCUCAUCGC
rnacentral:lncRNA from 1 species